rnacentral:rRNA from 1 species
UAUUGGUCAAUGGGCUUACGCCUGAACCAGCCAAGUCGCGUGAGGGAAGACGGUCCUAUGGAUUGUAAACCUCUUUUGUCGGGGAGCAAAAAGGCCUCGUGAGGCCACAAGCGAGAGUACCCGAAGAAAAAGCAUCGGCUAACUCCGUGCCAGCAGCCGCGGUAAUACGGAGGAUGCGAGCGUUAUCCGGAUUUAUUGGGUUUAAAGGGUGCGUAGGCGGACUGGAGAGUCAGCGGUAAAAUCGAGAGGCUCAACCUCUUUCCGCCGUUGAAACUGUCGGUCUUGAGUGGGCGAGAAGUAUGCGGAAUGCGUGGUGUAGCGGUGAAAUGCAUAGAUAUCACGCAGAACUCCGAUUGCGAAGGCAGCAUACCGGCGCCCGACUGACGCUGAGGCACGAAAGCGUGGGUAUCG